GGGAUGCAGGGCGCAGCUGAUCCGCAAUGCCGCGGUGCAGGAAGAAGGCCUUCGGGUUGUAAACUGCUUUUGUCAGGGAAGAAAUCCUCUGGGUUAAUACCUCGGGGGGAUGACGGUACCUGAAGAAUAAGCACCGGCUAACUACGUGCCAGCAGCCGCGGUAAUACGAA
rnacentral:rRNA from 1 species